rnacentral:rRNA from 1 species
UUCCAUCUGGAAGAAGUCUGGAGACAGGUGCUGCAUGGCUGUCGUCAGCUCGUGUCGUGAGAUGUUGGGUUAAGUCCCGCAACGAGCGCAACCCUUGCCUUUAGUUGCCAGCAGUUCGGCUGGGCACUCUAAAGGGACUGCCGGUGUUAAACCGGAGGAAGGUGGGGAUGACGUCAAGUCCUCAUGGCCUUUAUGACCAGGGCUACACACGUACUACAAUGGCCGAUACAAAGGGCAGCGACACUGCGAGGUGAAGCCAAUCCCGUAAAAUCGGUCUCAGUCCGGAUUGGAGUCUGCAACUCGACUCCAUGAAGUUGGAAUCGCUAGUAAUCGUGGAUCAGCAUGCCACGGUGAAUACGUUCCCGGGCCUU